GACGAACGCUGGCGGCGUGCCUAAUACAUGCAAGUAGAACGCAGUUUCGAACGGGUGAGUAACACGUAUGUAACUGCCUGGCAGCGGGGGAUAACUAUUGGAAACGAUAGCUAUUACCGCAUACAACCAGAUAGACCUGCGUUGUGUGAGCUAGUUGGUGGGGUAACGGCUCACCAAGGCGACGAUACAUAGCCGACCUCAUAGGGUGAUCGGCCACACUGGGACUGAGACACGGCCCAGACGCCUACGGGAGGCAGCAGUAGGGAAUCUUCGGCAAUGGACGGAAGUCUGACCGAGCAACGCCGCGUGAGUGAAGAAGGUUUUCGGAUCGUAAAGCUCUGUUGUAAGAGAAGCGGUAUCUUACCAGAAAGGGACGGCUAACUACGUGCCAGCAGCCGCGGUAAUUC
rnacentral:rRNA from 1 species